GGACUACACGGGUAUCUAAUCCUGUUCGUUACCCAAGCCUUCGUCCCUCAACGUCAGUUUUUAGAUAAAAGGUUGCUUUCGCCACUAUCAGUCCUUAUGGUAUCAAAAAAUUUCAUCUCUACUCCAGCAAUACUCUCCUUCUCCUAUAAAACUCUAGUAAGACUGUACCCUAUUUUGGGAUGGUAAUACCGUCUAGGUACCCUUUAAACCUAUUAAAGAUGAAUAACACUAGUCUUCUACGUAUUACCGCGGCUGCUGGCAC
rnacentral:rRNA from 1 species